ACCCUUGAACGAUGAGGAGAUGAUUUUGUAUAUUCUCACUGGACUCGACAUCGAAUAUAAUUCAAUUGUGUGGGUUGUAGUUGCUCGUGUUGAACCUAUGUCGGUUAUGAACUAUAUGCUCAGCUUUUAAGCUUCUAGA